rnacentral:tRNA from 1 species
GCCGAAAUGCAAGUUCGGAGAAGCACCCCCUAUGGGUGCCGGGGCUU